rnacentral:lncRNA from 1 species
GCAAUUCUGUCUGAAAAACACACACACACACUGAAAAUGGGUAUCGAUGCAUCCGGCAGCUGUGGCAACUUCCGGUCGACUUCAGAUUUCGAUUCGGGACAUUCAAUGAGCGCGACAGAUUAGCCGCUCGCCAACCACAAAAAGCCAGUGGGAAAGCCGGGAAAUGCGAGGAAAAGCAGGCAAAUUGGAGGCGGGCAUGGCAGAGAUGGCGGGAAAAAUGAGACCGACAAAAGCGACAGAGUCCGUAAUGAUGCGGAAGUGGACAAAAGGCAGCCGCAGUCUCACAAAAGCCAAAAGCUGUAGCUGCCAAUUCCACAGCCCAUUUGGAUGCCCAUGACUAUGGCAAAAGGCAUUCUAAAACUGCGGUCAAUUGAAAUGGCAAUCAAGUUAGCGAGCUCGUCCUUGUUCCUUGUCAAAAGGACACAUACCCAGACCAAGGAGCAACUGGAAUGGGACGACUGUCCUGCCGUUGGCUGACAUUCACACCACAGAAGAAAGCCAAAGUUCCCAGGCAAUAAUUACAUAGGACAUGUCCUACGAACUGAAAGUGAUCGGUGAUACAAAAGGGAUUGAUGAUUUAAUUUAUUUCGUAAUUGAUGCGUAUCAAAGUUAUUUUCUAAGAUAUUAUAUUUUCAGUACUU